GUGGAUUCGUAGCGAGGCUACUUCAACCAUUGCGAACUCGUCCAAGUUGCUUCGGCGGCGCGGCUCCCCCUAACGGGGGCGCCGCAGCCCUGCCUCUCCGGAGGUUCGGGGCGCCCGCCGGAGGUACGAAACUCUGUAUUAUAGUGGCAUCUCUGAGUAAAAAGCAAAUAAGUUAAAACUUUCAACAACGGAUCUCUUGGUUCUGGCAUCGAUGAAGAACGCAGCGAAAUGCGAUAAGUAAUGUGAAUUGCAGAAUUCAGUGAAUCAUCGAAUCUUUGAACGCACAUUGCGCCCGGUAGUACUCUACCGGGCAUGCCUGUUCGAGCGUCAUUUCAACCCUCAAGCCCUGCUUGGUGUUGGGGCCCUACGGCUGCCGUAGGCCCUGAAAGGAAGUGGCGGGCUCGCUACAACUCCGAGCGUAGUAAUUCAUUAUCUCGCUAGGGAGGUUGCGGCGUGCUCCUGCCGUUAAAGACCCAUCUUUAACCAAGGUUGACCUCGGAUCAGGUAGGAAUACCCGCUGAACUUAAGCAUAUCAAAAGCCGGAAGAA
rnacentral:rRNA from 1 species